rnacentral:rRNA from 1 species
GGUGAACGCUGGCGGCGUGCCUAAUACAUGCAAGUCGAACGCUGAAGGAGGAGCUUGCUCUUCUGGAUGAGUUGCGAACGGGUGAGUAACGCGUAGGUAACCUGCCUGGUAGCGGGGGAUAACUAUUGGAAACGAUAGCUAAUACCGCAUGACAACAGUUAUUGCAUGAUAACUGUUUAAAAGGGGCAACUGCUCCACUACCAGAUGGACCUGCGUUGUAUUAGCUAGUUGGUGAGGUAACGGCUCACCAAGGCGACGAUACAUAGCCGACCUGAGAGGGUGAUCGGCCACACUGGGACUGAGACACGGCCCAGACUCCUACGGGAGGCAGCAGUAGGGAAUCUUCGGCAAUGGACGGAAGUCUGACCGAGCAACGCCGCGGGAGUGAAGAAGGGUUUCGGAUCGUAAAGAUCUGUUGUAAGAGAAGAACGAGUGUGAGAGUGGAAAGUUCACACUGUGACGGUAUCUUACCAGAAAGGGACGGCUAACUACGUG